CGAAUGUUCGACGCAAAAUUUUCUGGUCGUGCCAUCUUUUGACUUUUUCUUUGUAUAGUUUGGCAUUCUCAUAUGCGUGAAAGCGAAAUUCAUCGAGUUCACUCAAUUGAAGUAGUCUCUUCUCACCUACAGAUGUUUGAUCAAAAUUGAGUUUUUGCACAGCCCAAUAUGCCUUAUGUUGUAGCUCGACUGGUAAGUGACAUUCCUUCCCGUACAGUAGUUGAUAUGGUGACAUCCCUAUUGGCGUCUUGUAUGAAGUCCG
rnacentral:lncRNA from 1 species